AACCCUGGAAGCGAGAUUGGCUGCAGUGACUUCCUUUUUGUAAGAUCUGGAGUGAAUAAAAUAAAGCAGACAUAAUCUAUUUCUAGAAAACUUAUUUAUACCCUAGCAUUUGAAAUGCCUUCUAUUUAGAAUAGCAG